UACGUAGGUCGCAAGCGUUGUCCGGAUUUACUGGGCGUAAAGAGCGCGCAGGCGGCUGGUCAAGUCCGAUGUGAAAUCUCCCGGCUCAACUGGGAAACUGCAUCGGAAACUGAUCGGCUUGAAGAUGGGAGAGGGUAGUGGAAUUCCCGGUGUAGUGGUGAAAUGCGCAGAUAUCAGGAGGAACACCGGUGGCGAAGGCGGAUCUCUGGGCCUUACCUGACGCUCAGGCGCGAAAGCUAGGGGAGCGAACUGG
rnacentral:rRNA from 1 species